UUUAAGGGGCACUGCAAGGCAUACUUGGAACUCUCUGUGUACAUGGGCAGAGUUUGUCAGCAAGUGGGACUCAUGGAAGACAAUCAGAUAGGGUCUCACUUUGUCACCAAGGAUGGCGUGCAGUGGCAUAAUCUUGGCUCAGUGCAGCCUCAAAUCCCUGGGCUCAAGUGAUCCUCCCAUCUCAGCCUCCCAAAGUGCUGGGAUUACAGGCAUGAGCCACCAUGUCAGGCCCAGCGUUUCUGUUUGAGGUAUAGGAGGGAGGCAGGAGCAGAUGUGGCUGCAGAAGAGAAGAAAGCAAUGUGACCACAGAAACAGAGAUUGGAGUCAUACAGCUACCAGCCGAGAACACCGGCAGGCAGCUGCCAGAAGAUGGAAGAGGCAAGGAACAGAUUCUCCCCAAGACCAGAAGGAUCCAAUCCUGAUGACACCUUGAUUUUAUUCCUAUAUAACUCAUUUUGAAUUUAUACUUAAUUGUAAUUGUUCUGGUUUCCAGAACUGUAAAAACAAAACAAACAAAAAAACCCAAAAAACAUUUCUAUUGUCUUAAGCCACAAGGUUUGUGCUAAUUUGUUACAAUGGCAAUAGAUAACUAAUACAUGCAUAUUUAAAACUUCUUGGAAUUUUAAGCCUAAUAAAUGUCCAUUAUACAUUA
rnacentral:lncRNA from 1 species